GCCGACAGUGUGAAAGGGGAAUCCUACGUGCUUAUGCUCAGCAUAAGCUUUUUUAUAGUGUAAGUAACUAUGAGAAUAAGGGAUGGGCAAGACCGGUGCCAGCAGCCGCGGUAACCCCGGCGUCCCUAGUGGCAAUCAGUAUUAUUGGGUCUAAAGCAUUCGUAGCCGGAUUGUUAAAUUUUCUGUGAAAUCGCUCAGCUUAACUGGGCGGCGUGCAGGAAAGACUGGCAAUCUUGGAACUGGGAGGAGUUAGGAGUAUUCUGGGGGGAGCGGUAAAAUGUGAUAAUCCUCGGAAGACUACCAGUGGCGAAGGCGCCUAACUAGAACAGAUUCGACGGUGAGGAAUGAAGGCCAGGGGAGCAAACCGGAUUAGAUACCCGAGUAGUCCUGGCAGUAAACACUGUGUACAAGAUGUUGCCGUAAUCUUGAGAUUAUGCAGUAUCGAAGAGAAGUCGUUAAGUACACCACCUGGGAAGUACGGUCGCAAGACUGAAACUUAAAGGAAUUGG
rnacentral:rRNA from 1 species